rnacentral:rRNA from 1 species
ACAAGCGGUGGAUGAUGUGGUUAAUUCGAUGCAACGCGAAAACCUUACCACCUUUGACAUGUACGGAAUCCUUUAGAGAUAGAGGAGUGCUCGAAAGAGAGCCGUAACACAGGUGCUGCAUGGCUGUCGUCAGCUCGUGUCGUGAGAUGUUGGGUUAAGUCCCGCAACGAGCGCAACCCUUGUCAUUAGUUGCCAUCAUUUGGUUGGGCACUCUAAUGAGACUGCCGGUGACAAACCGGAGGAAGGUGGGGAUGACGUCAAGUCCUCAUGGCCCUUAUGGGUAGGGCUUCACACGUCAUACAAUGGUCGGUACAGAGGGUUGCCAACCCGCGAGGGGGAGCUAAUCCCACAAAGCCGAUCGUAGUCCGGAUCGCAGUCUGCAACUCGACUGCGUGAAGUCGGAAUCGCUAGUAAUCGUGGAUCAGCAUGUCACGGUGAAUACGUUCCCGGGUCUU